CAUUUCGGUUCUUGCUUCUUUUGUUGAGUGAGUUGCUGUUCUGUAGGCUGAAGUAUGACCUCGCGAUGCAGAGUGGGGAAUUAAAGAGAGCUUUGCAAGCCUCGUCACGCUAAGCAAUAGCAAAACCCUUGGAACAAAAGGUGAUGAAGUCAGCCUCGCCUUGACAACGGAGAAAAUUGUGAAGUUCUGUGAGGAAUUUCUUGAGCUGGUAGAUGCCGCUGAUUUCACUUCUUUUCGUUUUUGUUUCUGCUAGAGACCUAAUCACCUUGCUAAUGCAGUUACUGGUGGGAAGCAGCCAUUGCAGCCGCUAUCAGAAAAGUCAUGGCAUGAUCGCAGAAGCGACACUUCACGCAUAUG
rnacentral:lncRNA from 1 species